rnacentral:rRNA from 1 species
CACGGGGGGAGCAAGCGUUGUUCGGAAUUACUGGGCGUAAAGGGCGUGUAGGCGGUUGCGUAAGUGGAAUGUGAAAUCCCCCGGCUUACCCGGGGACCUGCAUCCCAAACUGCGCGACUUGAGUAUGGGAGAGGAUGAGGGAAUUCCUGGUGUAGCGGUGAAAUGCGUAGAUAUCUGGAGGAAUACCGGUGGCGAAGGCGGCAUCCUGGACCGGCAUUGACGCUGAGGAGCGAAAGCCAGGGGAGCAAACGGG